rnacentral:lncRNA from 1 species
UGAGUUACAGCUAAAGGAUUGCUCUGAGGUCGUUCAGAACUGCUGAGGACAACAUUUCCAACGGAUAGAAAGGAACAGUAUGACAGAAGAAUCCUGUUGCCACGUGUCGUUUUUACUGGCGGGACAUUAGGCGCGCGACAAGUGGUGCCGAAACCCGGAACCAACAUCGCCAGUGCCGAGGGGACCCUUCAGUGUGCUGAAGAGGAUUCAGAACUACGAAAAGGUAAAUUAAGAGGUAAGCUUUGAGAGGCAUGCCCCUUUUUGGAAGAGAGCAUGUCAGAAACGGAGCAGAGUGAGAAAUUAGGCUUCCGAGAGGCAUGCCCCUUUUUGGAUUUAACAGAGCAUGUCAGAAACGGAGCAGAGUGAGAAAUUAGGCUUCCGAGAGGCAUGCCCCUUUUUGGAUUUAAGAGAGCAUGUCAGAAACGGAGCGGAGUGAGAAAUCAGGCUUCCGAGAAGCAUGCCCCUUUUUGGAUUUAAGAGAGCAUGUCAGAAACGGAGCAGAGUGAGAAAUUAGGCUUCCGAGAAGCAUGCCCCUUUUUGGAUUUAAGAGAGCAUGUCAGAAACGGAGCGGAGUGAGAAAUUAGGAGCACGCAAAAAAGAAAAAGGUUACUAAAACAAAAGUGAAAGAGAUACAAAAGGCGGAAGAAACGCUGCCAGAGGAAAAAAUAGGUAUGCCCCGAGGACGAAGUACAAGUCAACUGGAGAGGAUACUUUGUAUCCAUUAAAAGAAUUAGAAGCCUUAGAACUGGCUGGCAGUGACUCUGAGCAA